rnacentral:rRNA from 1 species
CACGUAGGGACCAAGCGUUGUCCGGAUUCAUUGGGCGUAAAGAGCUCGUAGGCGGUUCGAUAAGUCGGGUGUGAAACCUCCAGGCUCAACCUGGAGACGCCACCCGAUACUGUCGUGACUAGAGUCCAGUAGGGGAGCGUGGAAUUCCUGGUGUAGCGGUGAAAUGCGCAGAUAUCAGGAGGAACACCGAUGGCGAAGGCAGGUCUCUGGGCAUUAACUGACGCUGAGGAGCGAAAGCAUGGGGAGCGAACAGG